CGUGCUACCAAGUUGUUUUCGAUGAUGCGGCUUACAAAUCGACGAUCGGUUCCGUUAGACUUAAUCUACACUAUUAAAAGUAUUUGGAAACUAAAUUUCAUAAUUUUUUGAUAUUAUUUGACUAGUUAUAUAUAUAUAUAUAUAACUAGACUGGUAUACUAUCUGUAGCACGCAAUGAUUUGGCGUUCAAAUCAACGAUCGGUUCAGUUAGAUUUAAUCUAUACUAUUGAAAAUAUUUGAAAACUAAAUUUCAUAAUUUUUCGAUAUUAUUUGACUAAUGAUCAAAAGGUUUAAAAAUUGACAAUUUUAAUGCUGCAUUUGUAAAUUUAACGGUGUGAAGCAAUCCAAAUAUGAUAAAAUUUUUAUAAAAAAUUCUUUGUACUAUUUAUAAUAAGAUCAGUACCUCUGAUUUUAAAUUCAAGUAUUUUAUUAUUAUUUUUUAUGAGAUUUUUAUUUUUAGUCGUUCAUUCUUAGACUACUCGUUUGAUAGGUGAAUAAUAUCAAAAAAUUAUAAAAUUUAAUUUCCAAAUACGUUCAAUAGUGUAGAUCAAGUCUAACAGAGCCGAUCGUCGAUUUGAAAGCCGCAUCAUUGAAAACAAUAUGGUAGCACUGAGGCUUCCAUGAUACCGAUAGUAUACCAGUCGAACUCUAUAUAUAUAUAUAUAUAUAGAGAGAGAGAGAGAGAGAGAGAGAGAGAGAGCUAUACUAGAAAACUAUUAGUAGUAAACUGCUCGAUUUACUACAAAUUUUGAUUUUGAUGAUAGAGUUUUCAAAUUAACGAUCGACAUCAUUGAACAUGAUUUAGACUGGUUAAACUAUUUGAAAAUUUAAUUUCACACUUUCCAAUAUUGUUCUCUUGUCAAUCAAGUGACAGAAAAUAAUUGCUGAAAAUGAAUAUUCUUUAAAAAAAUAAUGAUACAAUUUCUACAAUGAAGCUCUAAAGUCUAGAUUUUAUUUUAAAUAGUUUAAAGAAUUUUCUAAUAAAAAUUUAGCUAAUUUGAAUUUUUUUAUACUGUUAAACAAGGAAACAUAUCAUACCGGCCAUUAAAAUUAUAAAUUUUGUGAUCCUUUAAUUGUUCAGUUAGUGAUGUCAAAAAGGAUAAAAUUUGGUUUCUCAAUAAUUUAAAUGGUUUAGAUUAUAUUCAAUAAUAUCGAUCGUCUAUUUAGAAGCUCUAUCGUCGAAAAAAGAAAUUAUAAUAAAUUGAGCCAUUUACUAUUAAUAGUAUUCUAGUAAAGCUCUAUAUUCGAUAUUAUCCACAAUCAAAUAGAAAAAGUUUUGUAUCCGACCGACUAUGAGUAUGGAUACGGAUAUAAAUUAAUUAAAAAAUUAUAUUACACUAGUACAUCCCAAUAUUUCAUUUGCCUGAUUCUCUGAAUCCAAUAUUCCAAUAUCUCAAGUGCUUAUCUUAUCCCAAUAUUUCAUUUGCCUGAUUCUCUGAAUCCAAUAUUCCAAUAUAUAUCUCAAAUGCUAAUUUAAGAGUUGGAAUUAGGGAUACAUCUAAUGGUGGAAAACUUGAUAGCACCAAGUGCUUGGUAUUAUUAAAAGCAUUCCAGUUGAAUUCUCAAAUAUAAAUGCGGAUAUUUUCAAAUAAUAUCUAAUCCGUAUUCACCCCUAACCAUACUAUAAAUUUAUCAUUCUUCAUAAAUUUUAUAUUAUUAAUUUAAAAAUCCAAAUUUUAUAAUUUGAUAGGAGGUAAAUUCAAAAUAUAUAAUAAAAAUAAUCAAUCAAUAUAUAGCGCAUAAAUGUACAAAAUCUCUGGGUGUAGUCAAUCAAGUUUGUCCGCUAAAAGUCAACGUUAAAUAUAUAGUAUGUACACAAAAAUUCUAAAAUAUGACAUUAGCACCACAUCAUCUAUAUAUGUCUCGAACGGAUCAAAUUUGCCUGUUGAAUUUACCCAUCUUUCCAUAAUUUAUUUUAAAAUAAAAUUAUUAUACUUUUUCUCAAAAGGAGUGAUUUGAUUGGCUUGAGACACAAUAAUGUGAUGUCACUAUUACAUAAAAAAUCACCUCGUGUAUAAAUAUACAGAUUCUCUGCCGAUGUUUUUCAUUGAAAAUAGAUAGUGAAAUUGUUUUUGACUAUAAAUGUUUAUUUUUGUUGUUUUUGUUUUCCGUGACUUCACUUUCAUUCGAAACUUAAGCUUUUCAAAAUAACACAAUUAACUUUGACUCAUCCAGGCUAAAGUCAAUCACGAAAAAAACAGUGACAACAAAAAUAAAAUAUAUAGCUGUCAUUUACUAUCUUUGCAAGGAUUUGUAUGAAAUUAACCCAAAGAAAAGACACAUCUCAUGUAAAGAAAAAAAAUUUGCAUGUCUUAUGAUCAACUUGAAAGAAAACUAAAACUAAUUUAGUUUUUCUUUUUCUUUUUUUUAAUCGAUUUCACAUAGGAAAAGAAAAAAAAAAUAUUAUAGAAUAAAUUCUAUUUGAAAAAAAAAUUAAACAAGGAAACAUGCAUACAAAACAAGUAUCACAGGUAUAAGGCGAAAAUAAGCAAAACGGCUUUGAUGCCGAUUGUUGGAAUAAGAGUUCAACAGAAACAUUACAAAUUUGAUAGACAACGUAUCUAGAAAUCAAAAAUGGAUCGGAUUGCUUGUUUUACUAGCCUUAUUGGAUCGUCCUCUCUCGAUAUUUCUAGAACUUUUACGUAUCUUGCACGUAUCUCGCUUUCUCCCACGCGUUGCGUAUCGUUGGAUGCGAAGAGAGCUACUGGAGUCCUCUUUUCGAACUAUUUACUUGUCUAGCCCCUUUACAAAAAAAAUCUCCUAUCUAGCCUUCUUUUGAAAAAUAUUUCUAAUCCAGCCUUAUUUUAGAUUAGAAAAAAAAAAAUGAUAAGUUAAUAAUUUUUAUAUAGAUUAAUAUGUUAAGUGGGUGGAGAUUAUCUUUUUUACUCUCUUCUCUCGU
rnacentral:lncRNA from 1 species